CCAAGGUAGGAAACUCCCUUUCGUCUCACAAUAAUUUCAAUGUUCAGGCCCAGAAGAGGCCUAACCUUUAUAAAGAUGAAAGCUGAAGGCAGAAGACUCAGAAUCGACCCUAAAUGAAAACAAACUGACAUACAAGCCAAAUAUAUGCCAAAUGAACCUACUCAUCAAUGUCGAACAGCUUGACAUGCAGGAAACAUUAAAUGUUGUCUUUAAAAAAAGCAUCUUACAUUCAUGCCCCUGUUAUCAAGUUUCACUCCAUGUUAAAUAAUUGAUUUCAUCAAAGAUAAGGCAGACCAUAUAAAAUUCAUCAACUAAUGCAAACCUCGACAUAGAAGUUCCUGAUUUCAAACUUUAGGGACAUCAACCUCAAAACAAGCUCAAGCACAUUUGCAAAACAACACUGGCUUCAACAGGCCAGGACAAACCUGAAACAUACUUGACGCUACUGAAAUUUCCUUGCAUUAGUUCUCUACCACAUAUACAGGUGAUCAUAAACCUUCUAGCAUUUAAACUAAGCAAGUGAAAAGGAAAAUUUAUACAACACUAGGGCGGGACCCAAUAGAUAAUGACAAGAAGCCAAAUAACUCAUAUGAGUCUAGAAGAAACAUGAAAAUGAAAUACAAUAGACUUUUAAAACUGGUAACACAACAGAGAAUGGACAACAAUCAAUUCCUCCGACUUGAAUUACACAACUUCAAUGUAGCAGCCAUAACAAACUUCAUUUCCAUCCAUGGUUUGAAGGAAAAUACCUGGUAAUAAACACGGAAAAAACCAAAGAAGUGAACGAUCAGCAGCAAACAGUAUCAGAAAUCAGCCCAGAUUCAGCCAAUAAACUAGUGAAAUCAGCUCAAGAAAAAUCAAUGGAACAUUAGAGGGAAUCCAAAACCAACUCCAAACCAAAACUCAAGCCAUUUCUCAAACCAGAUGCACAAUCUUGGAAGUUUUUAAGAAAUUCUAGACUAACAGAAGAUUCAAAUACCCAAAACCAAGAAAUGAAAACCAGUUCAAACAAUUUUCAACGUUUUCUCGGAGUUUUAAGAAGGAAGUUAAUUGAUCCUGAAAUUCAGUAUUUCUUCUUAUCUUUUCAUUCUCUCUAGGGUGCAAAAAACUGUGCAUUGAGUGAAAGGAAGGCUUCAUUUAUAGGGGUGGGGGUCUGUUAUGUGCCUUCCAAGGCAAGGCAGUCAACUUUUCCUAAAAUGCCCUCACAGAGCAUCUUUUAAAACUGACUUUCGAUAGUUGUCUUUUUCCUUCAAAUAUUUUCAAUUUUCUAGCCAGUUUCCUUAACAAAUCUGGGCAGCUGUCCAUUUAGGAAGCUUCCUAAAUGGUUACCAAAGAUUUCCAAGCACAGCCAAUCCCCAAAUUACCCUUCCAAAGCCUGUUUCUUACAUCCCUUGCCUAAAUUUUCUCUGUGCACUUAGGUCCCUAGGGUUCUUAGUUAUGGACAAAUCUAGACUAUCAUCCUAAGGCUAGAAUCACAAUAGACAUAAGAAUAAAAAAGAAAGCCAUUUGAGUAGAUUAAACAAGAAAUGCAUUUGGUCCGCAUGAACAACACCUCUAGCAUGAAUGCAAUUCAUUAAGCCUACGUCUAAGCAAAUUAACAAUGGAAUCAGUUGCAAGUCAAUCUUCAACUUAAACCAAUCACGAUUUAACUAUCCCAAACACCCAAAAUUAAUCGAGACGACUGACUGAAAUCUUAUUGAACCAAUGAUUAACAAUAACAAUUUUAACACUAUCAAUACUGAAAACAGCACUUAAUACUAACAAUAAAAAAACCUAACAGUCAAAACAACAUAACUAAGGGGAAGAGUAGAAAUACAAAAAUAACCUAGAACUAUAUGCAUUAAACUUUCAGAAGAAAAUGAGAGUAACCUAAGUGUGUGGGAAAAUAAAAAACCUAAAGAAAGUGGAAGAAGAAUGAAACUCUCAGAAAAUAUAAAGGGGUAAAGCUUUACCUGAAAACAGAAUCAAGGGGCGGAAAUCCCAUUUGAUUGAUGCCACGACCAAAAUUGUCUCAAAAUGACCGGAAACUGAGACUAAGUAGUUGUUCUUGCCAAGAAAAACUAACCAACCUAUAUUCUUGGCAAGUUCGAAGCUUACAAAUAAAUCAAAGACUCCUGACUUGUUGUAGAUUCAGGACUUGGAGUUAAUGGCAGGUCUUUUUUUGGGGAAAUCGACAAUGAAAUCAUGGUGAGGGAGGAUUAAGGAUGACAUGAGUUGAUUUUUGAGCGAUUUAGAGAAGUUAAGUUUUUUAUCUGGUUUUUCGAUCUAGAAUUCGAGCCAAAACACAGGGAUUCGAGGGUAGCUGGUUAGAGAUUUGGGAAGAGGAAGGUGAGAGGGCUCCGGGGUGUUAAUAUGGCGGUGAUUGGAGUGGUCAAUACCGGCGGAGAUAAUGGAGGUUUCAGGGGCGGCGGUCUCUAGGGUUCCUAGGUUAGAGGCGGUGAAAAUAGAGAGGGGGUGUUCUGAUAGGGCAUGGCUUUUUCGGACAGCUAUAUACACGUGGAACUUCCAAUUCCUGGC
rnacentral:lncRNA from 1 species